rnacentral:rRNA from 1 species
CUUGACAUCCAGAGAACUUGGCAGAGAUGCCCUGGUGCCUUCGGGAACUCUGAGACAGGUGCUGCAUGGCUGUCGUCAGCUCGUGUUGUGAAAUGUUGGGUUAACGUCCGCAACGAGCGCAACCCCUAUCCUUUGUUGCCAGCGAUUCGGUCGGGAACUCAAAGGAGACUGCCGGUGAUAAACCGGAGGAAGGUGGGGAUGACGUCAAGUCAUCAUGGCCCUUACGAGUAGGGCUACACACGUGCUACAAUGGCGCAUACAAAGAGAAGCGACCUCGCGAGAGCAAGCGGACCUCAUAAAGUGCGUCGUAGUCCGGAUCGGAGUCUGCAACUCGACUCCGUGAAGUCGGAAUCGCUAGUAAUCGUAGAUCAGAAUGCUACGGUGAAUACGUUCCCGGGCCUUGUACACACCGCCCGUCACACCAUGGGAGUGGGUUGCAAAAGAAGUAGAUAGCUUAACCUUCGGGAGGGCGUUUACCACUUUGUGAUUCAUGACUGGGGUGAAGUCGUAACAAGGUAGGCGUAGACGU